rnacentral:pre_miRNA from 1 species
UAAGUACUCACUCCCUUUCAAAUUAUUUGUCAUGAUAAUGGAUAUAUCUAGAUGUAUUUUUUAAUUCUGGAUACAUCAAUUUCUAUCCAUUUUCACGACAAAUAAUUUGGGAUGAAGGGAGUACUCG